rnacentral:rRNA from 1 species
GUAGGGGGCAAGCGUUGUCCGGAUUUAUUGGGCGUAAAGCGCUCGCAGGUGGUUGGUCGCGUCGUGCGUGAAAGGCCCCGGCUCAACUGGGGAGGGUCGUGCGAUACGGGCUGACUGGAGGCCAGUAGGGGGAUGCGGAAUUCCGGGUGUAGUGGUGGAAUGCGUAGAGAUCCGGAGGAACACCAGCGGCGAAGGCGGCAUCCUGGACUGGUCCUGACACUCAGGAGCGAAAGCGUGGGGAGCGAUCCGGAUUAGAUACCCGGGUAGUCCACGCCGUAAACGAUGCGCACUAGGUGUCGGGGGUAUCGACCCCCUCGGUGCCGCAGCCAACGCGAUAAGUGCGCCGCCUGGGGACUACGGCCGCAAGGCUAAA